rnacentral:rRNA from 1 species
UAGAUACCCUGGUAGUCCACGCCGUAAACGAUGUCAACUAGCCGUUGGGAGUCUUGAACUCUUAGUGGCGCAGCUAACGCAUUAAGUUGACCGCCUGGGGAGUACGGCCGCAAGGUUAAAACUCAAAUGAAUUGACGGGGGCCCGCACAAGCGGUGGAGCAUGUGGUUUAAUUCGAAGCAACGCGAAGAACCUUACCAGGCCUUGACAUCCAAUGAACUUUCUAGAGAUAGAGAUUUCCUUCGGGACAGA